CUGCCUCGGCUCCUCGGUGGCCAUGGACCUCCAACAUGUCAUUAAUACUUAACAGACACGAAUGCAGAGUUUACGUAUGCUAGGCACUUUAUGAAUGCUGGCUCAUUUAUUCCUCAUUACAAAGAUAUUCUCAUCUGUGUUUUACAGAUGAGCCUAUGAUAGCUCAGAGAAGUUAACUCACCCAAUGUCACAGAGCCAGGAGGUGACAGAACUGAGCAGCUGGGAUUUGAAUUGCACACUGAAGACUUGUGCACUCUACUGUAGGGACACUGUGCCUCUGCUUUAGAGACACGCACGAUGGUUGUACGUGUAUUGGUUGUCAACCCUGGUGACUGUAUGGCUGAGCUGCCCAACAUCACGGGAGAGCAUCUUACAGCCUAUCGCCAGCCCAGGAAAAGAUCAAACCUCCAACUACAGUUUCUAACGAAUGCGUACCGCUUUCUCGCCAUGAUUUUGAGCUUCUGGAAGCAGGGACAGCCAUGUAUGCAUUUAAAAAAGAAAUUUCUGAAUCUCCAGGGCUUAUCCCAGGACCUGGCACACAGCAUGUGCUUAAUAACUCCUUGUUACAU